AUUAUCCACUAGGGGUGCACGGACGUGCUGAGAGGAACAUGGUUCCAACCCUUUGAACUUGAACUGGGUCAUGCCAGCGAAAGGAAGUGGGGAAGGUUCGUU
rfam:Thermoactinomyces sp. Gus2-1 c15, whole genome shotgun sequence.